CGUCUUAUAAACCAACUAAAUGGACGUGAUACCAAUUAAUCUCAAACUUAUGAUUCAUACGAGAAAAUAGCAUGUUUACUUUGUUGUGUGUGAUUUAAGUAAAUAACGUUAAUGUGAUAUUUAAACCAAAAAAAAAAAAACAACUUAAAAUGUGAUAUCAUUCGGUGUUCAAAAAAUAAAAUAAAAUGUGAUAUCAUUCAUGUAAAGUUAUGUAUCAUCCGAGAAAUUAACAAUUUUUUUU
rnacentral:lncRNA from 1 species